rnacentral:lncRNA from 1 species
AUGGCAGCUGAAGGGGCCACAGAGAAGAGAGCCAACUUGGUGGCAUCUAAAGUCAUGUGGAGUAACAGGGAUGACGUACCUAUGUCAGCACCAGAACGGUCACAUGGCAGUGACAGAGCUGGAAUCUGUAGACAGAACAACGUCCAGCAGUGGCUUAGAAGUCAUGAGGCGGAUGCAAAACCAGACCACACCAGAGAAGCUGCAGCAGGGCUUUUAAAGAGGAACGCCAGCAGUGAGGAUGACUUAGCGUUGGGCGUCGAAGCAUCUUUAUAUGGUAAACAGGGAGUGAGGACCGUCCAGGAAUUUCUGAGGUAAGGAACUUUCCCUCUCUACUGUCCUGUCGGCUGGUUGCUGUCAAAAUUUUGGCGCUUUGAAAUGAAUUGCAACCGAGGGUCUAUACACGGCGAGAUUACACAUCCAUGUAUAAAUAAUUUGUGUCUCUCACAUUUGAUGUGAUGUUAUCCAAUAUAUAACUUGCAUAUAUGAUUACCAUGGAUAACUUACUAUGCAUAAAUGGGUUAAAAUGUUUUAUUGACCCCAUAAAAAUACUAACAUUUCUCUCAAAGUGAGGUUAGAUUGAUGUGAUCCAAAAUAAAAUAUGUUUAAACUCUGAACACCCUCACCCAGGGCUAAUUUUCAGUCACUUGUCAUUAACUGACUGGUAGUGAAGGGAGCUGGCUUGAUUGACAGAUGUUGUCAUAAGUUAUGGAUAAUGUUCACAUGACACAUGCCCACCUGCCAGUGACUCCUAUUUACCAUGCAAAUAUAAGACUCACCUGACCUUCACAGAAACAGAUGGGAAUCAUCCCGAAUGACACCCUAUUCCCUAUACAGUGCACUGCUUUUGACCAGGGCCCAUAGGGCACUAUGUCGGGAAUAGGGUGCCAUUUGGGACGCAGACAUGGAUGAAGGGAUGGUUUGCAUGAAACAAGAGUGAUGACAUAGACAUAGAUAUGACACGACGAGGAGGAGAAUAAUAUGAGAUUAUUGUUGCGUAGUGCACAGUAGAGACAACUCUAAACAGGGUUUAGAUGAAGGAAUUUGUGUGUGGAGAUGACAGUGCGAGCAGUGUGAUUUUGGAGACCAGUGUUAAUACAGAUUAUUGUUCCAUUCUGUUAUGGUGCAUUGUAGUAUUAUGCAGAAAAGCGUUCUAUCAUGUCUUUGUCUGUAGAAGGAUGAGUGGCUAGCUUGUAUGGAGACACGAGAAUCGGAGACUGUUUGCAGCGGUGUUCUAUCAUGUCUUCACCUUUGGAAGAAUAAAUGGCUAAAGGAACACAUAACUAAGAAAUGAGUCUAGAU